rfam:Chryseobacterium indologenes strain CI_885 contig_75, whole genome shotgun sequence.
GUUGGUAGAGCAAUGGAUUGAAAAUCCAUGUGUCCCUGGUUCGAUUCCUGGAGAAACCA